CGGUAAUGUUCUUCUGUUUGCCUCUUUUCAUUUUGUUUUUACUAUAUAUAUACACAAGGUGAUUGUUUUGUUAUAAAUACUGCACAAAUAUUGUGGCGAAAUGCUACUUUCCGAAUACAGUGAGUGGUUGAGUUCUGCAGUUUAUUUUGAGCUAUUUCUGACACUUUCUUUGAUUAUACGGGUGUCAGUGGUAUUGUUUUCAUUUUGAAAUGUAAUUCUGGAGUCCCAACACCAAACCGUAUUAGAUUUUUCUUGACAGAGAGUGGUUAGUCCUGCCAAGGUUUCAUGAUUUUCUCACUUUACUGUGACAUGUCAUCACUGUACUAAAGCUGCUUUGGGGAUAAGGAUGCUUGACCAAGUACCACACCCUUGCUAUGAAUAUUUCAUAAAUAGAUCAAAAACAGUCUUGAGGUCAUCAGAGAUGAUGUUCUUCUGUUUGCCUCUUUUGAUUUGGUUUGAUUUGUUUGUGCUCAACAUAUUAUUCAGUGAGCUUAUUUACUUUUCAAUGCUUACAUUGAUAAUGUGUUGUGGAUUUUGUAGGAGGAAAACUUGGAAGAGGUCAUUGCACUUACUGUGAUAUAACUGUUAAAUUGUUUGUCUCACACAUAUCUUUCAGAUGCAAAGGAUAAUACUGACAUUAUGAAUUUUGUUACUGGCCCCGCCCAGGGAGCAAGCGUAUGUGACAUUUUCAUUGUAUUAGAUUGUGUUGAUCCUACUAUUUCUAGCAAUUUAAGGCAUCCCAUGAUGCACCAUUUUGCAGGGAUAGGUUUUUUUCGGACUUACCCUUAAGUUUUCUUCAAUGCAAUGAUUAAAUGAACUUGUUCUUUGUCUAAUUUCAGUAUUUCUUCCAUAUUAAAUUUAGCUGCCUUACUCACUUGUUCAGGUCAUUUUUGCUGAUUUUAUGGUAAUCUGUGAUCGGUUCCAUGAGAUUUAGAAAGUGAUGCAGGGACGCCUUAAAUCAUGCUCAACAAGCUGCUAGAGUGUUCAAAAACAGAAGCAGCCUGCGGUCUACCCUAUUGGAAGCACCAUCCGUUCUUCAACCCAACUACGAGUGGAUGAGUGUCAUUGACUCGAGGGCCUGCUGGAACAUUGGAAAUGGGCAAAGGGUGAAAAUGUUGGGUGACAACUGGUUCCUGGGUCAGGCUGAGUUUGAAGUGUGGAGUCCUGCCUCAACCCUAGUGAUUCGGUUAAUCGAAGAUGACGCAAACAAUGGAAAUUCAAACACGCUUACCGUUAAUGAAUGAAAUGAUUGAGCUUGGUGAGAUGCGGUUAGAACUGUUUCGUCUCAUUAACAACACCCAAGAAGCCAUUGAUGCUGAAAGAACGAGGAAAAUCGCAAUCUUGAUGUCAUUUAGAUAGUAACUAACAACUUUUUAUUCAUUUCAAAUUGAUUUUAAUGUUAUUUUGAAUCUAUGCUUGUGUCAUGAUGAGUAGGAUGAAACUCCUUCUUCAGGUAAUGUAUCUGUCUUUUUGCACUUACUGUGUGAUCUAACAAUCAAAUUAUUUGUCCCACUCAUUUCUUACAUACGAUAAUCACGUUGCAGUUUAGGUCCUAUACAUUGCAUUCAUACAAAGUAACUUGAAAUAGAAAGAUAUUUAGUAUGUUGUUCUUUUUCCUUUUUCACAGACUUGCCAUAAAGGUUAUUGUCACUCUUUUAUGCUUAUAAUUCCAUCAUGUCUUGCUAAUUUCUUUACUCUAAAACGUUACUCUUAGUGUCUUUUCAUGUCACA